GAAGAUGAAGAGAUCGGGUUGGAAGGAGGAGGCGGCGCGGAGGGUGGGGAGCUCGACGAUGGCCCAGGGGACGGCGAGGAAGGCGAGGCAGCAGGGGGCGACGUAGUAGAGGGAGGUGAUCGGGUUGAGCGAGAUCCCUUUCGAGGUGAGGAGGAUCUGGAUGAGGACGAGGCGGGUGGCCUCGAAUGCGACGGCGGCGAGCUGGAGCGUGACGCCCCAGGCGUCGAAGCGGGCCUCGCCG
rnacentral:misc_RNA from 1 species